rnacentral:rRNA from 1 species
UGGGGAAUAUUGCACAAUGGGCGCAAGCCUGAUGCAGCCAUGCCGCGUGUGUGAAGAAGGCCUUCGGGUUGUAAAGCACUUUCAGCGAGGAGGAAGGUGGUGAGCUUAAUACGCUCAUCAAUUGACGUUACUCGCAGAAGAAGCACCGGCUAACUCCGUGCCAGCAGCCGCGGUAAUACGGAGGGUGCAAGCGUUAAUCGGAAUUACUGGGCGUAAAGCGCACGCAGGCGGUUUUGUUAAGUCAGAUGUGAAAUCCCCGGGCUCAACCUGGGAACUGCAUUUGAAACUGGCAGCUAGAGUCUCGUAGAGGGGGGUAGAAUUCCAGGUGGUAGCGGUGAAAUGCGUAGAGAUCUGGAGGAAUACCGGUGGCGAAGGCGGCCCCCCUGGACGAA